UACAGAGGGUGCAAGCGUUAAUCGGAAUUACUGGGCGUAAAGCGUGCGUAGACGGUUGCGUAAGUCAGAUGUGAAAUCCCAGGGCUCAACCUUGGAACUGCAUUUGUGACUGCAUAGCUAGAGUACGGUAGAGGGGGAUGGAAUUCCGCGUGUAGCAGUGAAAUGCGUAGAUAUGCGGAGGAACACCGAUGGCGAAGGCAAUCCCCUGGACCUGUACUGACGCUCAUGCACGAAAGCGUGGGGAGCAAACAGG
rnacentral:rRNA from 1 species